UACGUAGGGUGCAAGCGUUGUCCGGAAUUAUUGGGCGUAAAGAGCUCGUAGGUGGCCUGUCGCGUCGGCUGUGAAAACUCGGGGCUCAACUCCGAGCUUGCAGUCGAUACGGGCAGGCUAGAGUUCGGCAGGGGAGACUGGAAUUCCUGGUGUAGCGGUGAAAUGCGCAGAUAUCGGGAGGAACAUCAGUUGCGAAGGCGGCUCUCUGGACCAGCACUGACACUGAGGCACGAAAGCGUGGGGAGCAAACAGG
rnacentral:rRNA from 1 species